UUGUGUUAAUAGUAGUUGUGUUAAUAGCAAUUGUGUUAAUAGUAGUUGUGUUAAUAGCAAUUGUGUUAAAGAAAUUGAAGUAGAAUUGAAAAGUAAGUGUACAACAAACAAUAUAAACCAAGAAGUUUCGAAUGAAAAAGGAACCGAAAUAAACUCAAAUAAUAUGUCUGAAAAGUAUAAAACAAAUUUAGAUAGUAACUUAAAUUUUAACUGGAAUGGAUCACAGAUAAAAACAUGUAUACGUAUAAAACCAAUUGAAUCAGUUGAAAGCAAAGUGGAUAAAGCUAUAACACAAAGUGGAUCAAAUAAGAUAAUAAUUAAUUGCGGUGGUAAGCGUGAGUAUACAAAUGUAGAAUUUUCUGUGGAUCGAGUUUUUAAUGAAAAUUGUAAACAAUCUGAUAUUUGGAAUAGUAUAUGUUUUUCUAUCAGUUCUUUAUUUUGCUUUAAAAAUGCUACAAUAUUUGCACAUGGUCAUACAGGUACUGGAAAAACAUAUACUAUGAUAGGUCCUGAUGUAAUGGAAUUAAUUAAAAAAAAAAAAAAAGUAAUAAAUAAACAUCCUGUGAAAAGAAUAUAUAUGCAUAAUUCAUUAGUAAAUACUAACAGUUUAAAAAUUACAAGUAAGAAUUAUAACAAUAGAAACAAUAACAGUAACACUUUUACAUAUGAUAGGAAACGAUCAUGUUCACAAUCCUUAUUGACUUUACCUUCAAGAACAAAUUCUUUAACAAAUACAAAAUGUAUGAAUUAUAAAAAUACAUGGGAUAUACCAAAUGGCUUACUUAAUAUUCGAAAUAAUGGACAAAAUAAUUUUGAUUCUGUUAAUGAUACUAUUAGCUCUAAAUAUGAAUGCCAUAAAACAUUUACUGAAUACCAAAGAGAAUAUAAACCUAAUAUAAAAAUUAAUAAAAAGGAUAUAAAAUAUAUUUUGGGUUCGGAAAAAAGGGGUAUAAUACCAAGAGCAUGUGAAGAAAUAAUGAAAAGAUUAUCAUUGAUGAGGGGUGAUAGUGAUAAUAUGGAUAGUGGUGAAGUGGCUAGUGAUGAAGUGGCUAGUGAUGAAGUGGCUAGUGAU
rnacentral:lncRNA from 1 species